AAUAUAAAAAAUAAAUGGAAAUUUUAGAACUAAAAAAUAAAAUAUCUGAAAUUAACAAUGACAUUAUUGGAUAGGCUUACUAGCAGAACAGAGAUGACAAAGAAAUUUGUCAACUUUAAGAUGAGUAAUACAAUAUAUCAAAUCUGAAGAAGGGAGAGGGGAAAGACUUAAGCAAAAAAUGGAAACUCACAUACCCAUGGAAUAAUUUUAAAAGAGUAAAAUCAGUAGUAACAGACAAUUGAAGCUACAGAAGCAGAGUGGAGAGAGAUUACAAGAAGAGGACAAAAAGGAAGAAGAAAAAAUAAUAGUAAUGGCCAGAACCUUCUCAAAUUAGGAAAACAUACAUAUUUAAGAAGUGCAGACAACCUCAAAGAGGAUAAGUAUGAAGCACACCAUGCCUAGGCACAUCAUUGUCAAUCUGAGAAAAUCUUAAAAGCAGAGAAAAAUGACAUAUUAUAUACUGGUAAGAACCAUUUGAAUGAUUGUGGCCUUAACAGAGAUAAUGGAGGCGUGGAGCAACAUCUUUAAAGUACUGAAAGAAAAAGAACUGUCAAUUCAAUUCUAUACCUAAUGAAAAUAUCUUUUGAAAAUGAAGAUAAAAUAAAAUUGGCUUCUUAGGCAGUAGUUAUAUGUUUAGCAUACUGUUUAGAAUAGGGACUCUGAAAACAGAAUCUAGAUUUGAAUUUCAGCUUGGAUACCUUUUAUGAUCAUAUUACAUAAAUUCUUUAGCCUCAAUUUCCUUAUAUAUUUUAUUAAUACUUUGUCAUGGCUUCUUCUCCGGGAAAACACCAAAUGGCGGAUGACGCCGGUGCAGUGGGAGGGCCCGGAGGCCCCGGGGGCCCUGGAAUGGGAGGCCGCGGCGGCUUCCCUGGAGGCUUCGGCAGCGGCAUUCGCGGCCGUGGUCGUGGCCGAGGUCGAGGUUGCGGAGGUCGCGGAGCUCGCAGAGGCAAGGCCAAGGACAAGGAGUGGAUGCCCGUGACCAAGCUGGGCCGCCUGGUUAAGGACAUGAAGAUCAAAUUCCUAGAGGAGAUCUAUCUGUUCUCCUUGCCUAUCAAGGAGUCUGAGAUCACUGAUUUUUUUCCUGGGAGCAUCUCUCAAAGAUGAGGUUUUGAAGAUUAUGCCAGUGCAAAAGCAGACCGGCGCUGGCCAGCGGACCAGGUUCAAGGCGUUUGCUGCCAUCGGGGACUACAAUGGCCACGUUGGUCUAGGUGUUAAGUGCUCCAAGGAGGUAGCCACUGCCAUCAGAGGGGCCAUCAUCCUGGCCAAGCUCUCCAUAGUCCCCGUGCGGAGAGGCUACUGGGGGAACAAGAUCGACAAGCCCCACACUGUUCCUUGCAAGGUGAUAGGCCGCUGCGGCUCUGUGCUGGUGCGUCUCAUCCCUGCCCCUAGAGGAACUGGCAAGGUCUCGGCCCCUGUGCCCAAGAAGCUGCUGAUGAUGGCUGGUAUCGAUGACUGCUACACUUCAGCCAGGGGUUGCACUGCCACCCUGGGCAACUUCGCAAAGGCCACCUUCGAUGCCAUCUCCAAGACCUAUAGCUAUCUGACUCCUGACCUUUGGAAAGAGACAGUAUUCACCAAGUCUCCCUACCAGGAAUUCACCAACCAUCUUGUCAAUACCCACACCAGAGUCUCUGUGCAGAGGACCCAGGCUCCAGCUGUGGCUACCACAUAGCAUUUUUAUAUGAGAAAAAUAAAGUGAAAUUAAGUCUGUUAAAAAAAAAA